GAGGGGGUGCUUUAGUACUAGUAGCUGACUUCCUAUGCAAGUGCUUUUCAGGAAAACUAGCCAACCUCACUUUGUAUUUUGGACAGCUGUUGCUAAUUGAUUCUCAUAUAUUUUGGCAUUUGAAAAUCCUCAUUUCUGUUGUUGUGAUAUCCCACACAACCUUGCAAUUAUGUAUGGGGACAUGCUGAAAAACUGGGCAGCCUUUAAUUAAAUGGAAAUUAUGAACUUAUAUUUUGGAUAGCCUUUCAUUUCUUAGUUUUAUCAUCUUAUAUUCAUUUCUUAUGAACUUUAGAAUGUUUGUUUUGAUGGAAAUUGUGAACUUAUAUGCAUGCUGGAAACUGGACAGCUUUUGAUUAAAUGAAAAUUAUGAACUUGUAUUUUGGGCA